rnacentral:rRNA from 1 species
UACGUAGGGGGCGAGCGUUGUCCGGAUUCAUUGGGCGUAAAGAGCUCGUAGGCGGCUUGGCAAGUCGGGUGUGAAAACUUCAGGCUCAACCUGGAGCGGCCACUCGAUACUGCCAUGGCUUGAGUCCGGUAGGGGACCACGGAAUUCCUGGUGUAGCGGUGAAAUGCGCAGAUAUCAGGAGGAACACCGGUGGCGAAGGCGGGUCUCUGGGCCGAAACUGACGCUGAGGAGCGAAAGCGUGGGGAGCAAACAGG